AUGAUUUGUGGUUUUGGGGGGCACCGGGGGUGGUUUUGGGGGACACUCAGGUCAAUUUUUGGGGCACCCAGGGCCAUCUUUGGGGUUCCCUGGGGGUCUGAUUUUGGAGUCCCCAACAUUGGAGGUUUUCGGGGGCAUCCAGGGCCAUUUUGGGGGCACUCAAGGCCAUUUUUGGGGUUCCCAAAGGCAAUUCUGGGGUUCCCAGAGGGGUCAGGUUUUGGGAUCCCCAUGAUUUGUGGUUUUGGGGGCACCGGGGGUGGUUUUGUGGUGUCAAAACCAGCAUUUUGGGGGGACCCAGAGAUGUGGGUUUGGGUUUCUUGCUUUUGUGGUGCUUUUGGGGUGGGGGGGUCCUUUCUUGGGGGCACCCAGGACCAUUUUUGGGGUUCCCUGGGGGUCUGAUUUUGGAGUCCCCAACAUUAGAGGAUUUGGGGGGCAUCCAGGGCCAUUUUGGGGGCACUCAAGGCCAUUUUUGGGGUUCCCAAAGGCAAUUCUGGGGUUCCCAGAGGGGUCAGGUUUUGGGAUCCCCAUGAUUUGUGGUUUUGGGGGCACCGGGGGUGGUUUUGUGGUGUCAAAACCAGCAUUUUUGGGGGGCCCAGAGACGUGGCUUUGGGUUUCUUGUUUUUGGGGUGGUUUUGGGGUGGGAGGUCCCAUUUUUGGGGUGCAGAGGGGGGUCCUUACCCAGCUGGGAACGAGAGAAGUCGACGGACCACCCGACGCGGAACAGCGGCACCUCAGAGCUGCCCUCCUUCAGUGGGAGGUGCUGAGCAACCUGCACGUUUUGGGGAGAAAUUGGGGGAUUUGGGGACAAAAUUGCACCGUUUUGGGGUAUAAUUAUGGGAUAGGAAAAGGAAAAAGGGAAUGGAGUGGAAGCAAAAAGCUAAAAGCAUCAGGGAACGGUUCAAAAAGGUAGAAAGAAUCCUAAAAAGAUGUCCUAAAUUUGGGAUACGAAAGUUGGGUGGGUUUUAAGUCCCCAAAAAGCCCCAAAUUCGUGUGGAAAUGGGGUUCCAAACUGACCCAAAGCCCUAACCCCACAAAAGGUGACUCCAAAUCCCCCGAAAUGACCCCAAAAUGAUCCAGCAGGGCCCCCAAAGGACUCCAAGGACCCCCCUGUAUCAUCAUAACCCCUCCCCUAAGACCCUAAAGACCCCAAAAUGACCCUAAAAGUUCCCCAAGUCAUCCGAAAGCACCCUAACCCUCCCCCAAAUGCCCCCCCAAAAAUCCCAAAAUCACCCUA
rnacentral:lncRNA from 1 species